AUUGAACGCUGGCGGCAUGCCUUACACAUGCAAGUCGAACGGCAGCACGGGUGCUUGCCCCUGGUGGCGAGUGGCGAACGGGUGAGUAAUACAUCGGAACAUGUCCUGUAGUGGGGGAUAGCCCGGCGAAAGCCGGAUUAAUACCGCAUACGAUCUACGGAUGAAAGCGGGGGACCUUCGGUCCUCGCGCUAUAGGGUUGGCCGAUGGCUGAUUAGCUAGUUGGUGGGGUAAAGGCCUACCAAGGCGACGAUCAGUAGCUGGUCUGAGAGGACGACCAGCCACACUGGGACUGAGACACGGCCCAGACUCCUACGGGAGGCAGCAGUGGGGAAUUUUGGACAAUGGGCGAAAGCCUGAUCCAGCAAUGCCGCGUGUGUGAAGAAGGCCUUCGGGUUGUAAAGCACUUUUGUCCGGAAAGAAAUCCUUGGCUCUAAUACAGUCGGGGGAUGACGGUACCGGAAGAAUAAGCACCGGCUAACUACGUG
rnacentral:rRNA from 1 species